rnacentral:rRNA from 1 species
GUCUUUUUGAGUUAUUUUUAAAGUCUGACCUGCCCACUGAAUAAUUUUUAAAUGGCCGCAGUAUCCUAACUGUGCAAAGGUAGCAUAAUCAUUAGUCUUUUAAUUGAAGGCUGGUAUGAACGGUUGGACGAAGUAUAAGCUGUUUCAUAUAAAAUUAUUUUAGAAUUUUAUAUUUUAGUUAAAAAGCUAAAAUUUUAUUAAAAGACGAGAAGACCCUAUAAAUCUUUAUAUUUAUAAUUAUUCAAAUUUUUUGGAUUAAUUUUAUUUUUAUAAUUGUAAAUAUUUUGUUGGGGUGAUGUUAAAAUUUAAUGAACUUUUAAUUAUUUAUUAAAUCAUUAAUUUAUGAGUAAUUGAUCCAUUAUUAGUGAUUAUAAGAUUAAGUUACUUUAGGGAUAACAGCGUAAUUUUUUUUGAGAGUUCAUAUCGACAAAAAAGUUUGCGACCUCGAUGUUGGAUUAAGAUACAUAUUUAGGUGUAGCCGCUUAAACAUAAAGUCUGUUCGACUUUUAAAUUCUU